rnacentral:rRNA from 1 species
AUUGAACGCUGGCGGCAGGCCUAACACAUGCAAGUCGAACGGUAGCACAGAGAGCUUGCUCUCGGGUGACGAGUGGCGGACGGGUGAGUAAUGUCUGGGAAACUGCCCGAUGGAGGGGGAUAACUACUGGAAACGGUAGCUAAUACCGCAUAAUGUCGCAAGACCAAAGAGGGGGACCUUCGGGCCUCUUGCCAUCGGAUGUGCCCAGAUGGGAUUAGCUUGUAGGUGAGGUAACGGCUCACCUAGGCGACGAUCCCUAGCUGGUCUGAGAGGAUGACCAGCCACACUGGAACUGAGACACGGUCCAGACUCCUACGGGAGGCAGCAGUGGGGAAUAUUGCACAAUGGGCGCAAGCCUGAUGCAGCCAUGCCGCGUGUAUGAAGAAGGCCUUCGGGUUGUAAAGUACUUUCAGCGGGGAGGAAGGGAGUGAGGUUAAUAACCUUAUUCAUUGACGUUACCCGCAGAAGAAGCACCGGCUAACUCCGUGCCAGCAGCCGCGGUAAUACGGAGGGUGCAAGCGUUAAUCGGAAUUACUGGGCGUAAAGCGCACGCAGGCGGUCUGUCAGUCGGAUGUGAAAUCCCCGGGCUCAACCUGGGAACUGCAUUCGAAACUGGCAGGCUGGAGUCUUGUAGAGGGGGGUAGAAUUCCAGGUGUAGCGGUGAAAUGCGUAGAGAUCUGGAGGAAUACCGGUGGCGAAGGCGGCCCCCUGGACAAAGACUGACGCUCAGGUGCGAAAGCGUGGGGAGCAAACAGGAUUAGAUACCCUGGUAGUCCACGCUGUAAACGAUGUCGACUUGGAGGUUGUUCCCUUGAGGAGUGGCUUCCGGAGCUAACGCGUUAAGUCGACCGCCUGGGGAGUACGGCCGCAAGGUUAAAACUCAAAUGAAUUGACGGGGGCCCGCACAAGCGGUGGAGCAUGUGGUUUAAUUCGAUGCAACGCGAAGAACCUUACCUACUCUUGACAUCCAGAGAACUUAGCAGAGAUGCUUUGGUGCCUUCGGGAACUCUGAGACAGGUGCUGCAUGGCUGUCGUCAGCUCGUGUUGUGAAAUGUUGGGUUAAGUCCCGCAACGAGCGCAACCCUUAUCCUUUGUUGCCAGCGGUCCGGCCGGGAACUCAAAGGAGACUGCCAGUGAUAAACUGGAGGAAGGUAGGGAUGACGUCAAGUCAUCAUGGCCCUUACGAGUAGGGCUACACACGUGCUACAAUGGCAUAUACAAAGAGAAGCGACCUCGCGAGAGCAAGCGGACCUCAUAAAGUAUGUCGUAGUCCGGAUUGGAGUCUGCAACUCGACUCCAUGAAGUCGGAAUCGCUAGUAAUCGUGGAUCAGAAUGCCACGGUGAAUACGUUCCCGGGCCU